GAGACUGCCAGGGAUAACCUGGAGGAAGGUGGGGAUGACGUCAAAUCAUCAUGCCCCUUAUGCUUAGGGCUACACACGUGCUACAAUGGGUAGUACAGAGGGUUGCCAAGCCGUAAGGUGGAGCUAAUCCCUUAAAGCUACUCUCAGUUCGGAUUGUAGGCUGAAACUCGCCUACAUGAAGCUGGAGUUACUAGUAAUCGCAGAUCAGAAUGCUGCGGUGAAUGCGUGCCCGGGUCUUGUACACACCGCCCGUCACACCACGGGAGUUGGAGACGCCCGAAGCCGAUUAUCUAACCUUUUGGAAGAAGUCGUCGAAGGUGGAAUCAAUAACUGGGGUGAAGUCGUAACAAGGUAG
rnacentral:rRNA from 1 species